GUUAACCUCAAUGCGGAAAAUAAUCAUAGCGAAUAAAAUUUUCUCCUUGUUCACUAUUUUGAUGACUUAAUAAUAUCGUAAUCGUGCGUUUGCAUUCACUUAAAUAAUUGAGCAAACGCCAGCCAGCCAGUGUCGGCAAGCGCAUGAACAAGUAGGUACUUCAGAUUUUUAGGCAUCUGGGUCUUGAGCACUCCUGGGACCUCGCCUCAGUCAAAGGUAUUGAGCAGAUAUAAAAAGAUAUACAUACCUACUAUAAAUAAAAAAUACAAUAUAACAGGUGUCCCACAAUAUUAUCUAAGCGCCUCAAUUUGUUUUUAAGUAAGUAGGUAUUUAAUUUAUUGUGAGAGGUUUUGUAAUUUGCAUGUAUGUAUAAAUAUUUUUUAACAUUUAUUCACAACAGUAAAAAAUAUAUUGCAAUACACGUAUAAUUCAUGUGUAUUUAUCCCAUUUUUAAGGUCCAUGGACAAACAAGGAACACAUAUUGUAACUUUUCUAUACCUUAACAAAUCCUCAACAUCUAUACAUUUAAAGGACAAACAAAACGUACAACACAAAAGAGAAUCUUACAAUAUAAUUACAUAUCUGUAAACAGCAUUACAAAACAAUAUAUUAUUACCUACAAGCUUAAUAUAGUAAUUUAUAAAAAUAACAAUUAUAUACAAUUUAUACAGCGAGGCUAUUCAGAUUAUCACCACUAUUGUUGUGAUAGUACUUAAUUAGCUAUUAAUUUUG